rnacentral:rRNA from 1 species
AUACGGAGGAUCCGAGCGUUAUCCGGAUUUAUUGGGUUUAAAGGGUGCGCGGGCGGCCAUUUAAGUCAGCGGUUAAAUCGUGGGGCUCAACCCCAUUCUGCCGUUGAUACUGGGUGGCUUGAUUGCGGUCGAGGUUGGCGGAAUUCGUUGUGUAGCGGUGAAAUGCAUAGAUAUGACGAAGAACACCGAUUGCGUAGGCAGCUGACCAGAUCGCAAAUGACGCUCAUGCACGAAAGUGCGGGGAUCGAACAGGAUUAGAUACCCUGGUAGUCCGCACAGUAAACGAUGAAUACUUGUUUUCGGCGAUAUAAUGUCGGAGGCAAAGCGAAAGCGAUAAGUAUUCCACCUGGGGAGUACGCCGGCAACGGUGAAACUCAAAGGAAUUGACGGG